ACAUUAAAAAACGAUAUAUUUUUAUAAAUAAUAUUAAAUGAAUAUAAACUUAUAUUCGUUAUAAAAUCGUGCAUGGUGUUUCGUAUAUUGAUACAAUUGGAAUAUAACAAAAAUUAAUAAAAAAGGGAGUAAAAAUUCAACAAAUCAUAAGAAAUUUUGUAUUUUAUACCCAAGCUAUAACCAUAGAUACAUAAUGGAGACUUCUCGAAAUUAUAAAAAUCCUUUUCCGGAUUAUACGAAUACAUCUUCUAUUACCGUGUUGAAGCUUGAAGAAAAUACUAUAACAGAUAAUUUUAAAGUUUUGUUAUAUACAAAAACCAUAAAAUUGUUACAAAAAUUAGAGGAAAAUAAAAAUGAUUGGACUUAUAAUGACGAUCAUUCUAUUUACACAGGAACAGCUGGUAUAGCAAAUAUGUUUAAACUCUAUGCUGAUUAUUUCGACGAACCUGCAUAUUAUUCUAAAGCAAUAGAAUUGUUGCAAACCUGUAUCAACAAAUUUCAAUGGAGAAAAGAAAUAACUUUCUUAACUGGUUUAUCUGGACCAUUAGCACUUGGUGCAGUUCUAUUUCAUAAACAUGGAAAUAAGGAUGAUUCUCAAAAAGCUAUAUCUAAAUUAAUAUCAUUAUCAUCCCACGUUGUAAAGGAACAUGGCAAAGUAUGUGAUGAAUUACUUUAUGGAAGAGCUGGCUAUCUUUUCUCUCUUCUUUAUGUAAAUUCAAAUAUAUCCCCGUCACCUAUAGAAAGUGAUAUUAUCAAACAGGUUAUUUCUUGUAUAAUCAAAUCUGGAAAUAUAUAUUCCAAAUCAAGACACUAUGAGACUCCACUUAUGUAUUCGUGGCAUGAUAGUGAAUAUCUUGGUGGAGCUCAUGGACUGGCUGGUAUUCUCUACAUACUGUUACAAGCUCAUUAUUAUUUGACAGAAGAACAGUUAAAAAAUGACAUAUUACCAGCUUUAGAUUACCUUCAAGAUUUAAAAUAUCCAUCAGGAAAUUUUCCUUCUUCGGUAGGAAGUAAGACAGAUAAAUUAAUACACUGGUGUCAUGGAGCUCCAGGAAUGACCAUGUUAUUUUGCCUUGCCUAUGAGAUAUAUUUGGAUAAGAAAUUUUUACAAACUGCUAUACAAUGUGGAGAAGUAAUUUGGGAAAGGGGUCUGUUAAAAAAAGGGUAUGGAAUAUGUCAUGGGGUUUCUGGAAAUGCAUAUACCUUUCUACAUCUAUUUCAACAAACGAAGGAUCCAAAACAUCUAUAUAGAGCUUGUAAAUUUGCAGAAUGGUGUUUUGAUUACGGAGAAAAUCAAAAUAGAAUUCCAGACAGACCAUUUUCUUUGUUUGAAGGUCUUGCUGGUGUCAUUUAUUUCCUUAUAGAUAUGCAAAAACCAAGUAUGGCUAAAUUUCCAGCAUAUACUUUAUAAAAUUAAUAUUUAUGCAUUACCAUAUUUAUUACACCACAAUCUUCUAUCUGACUAUUUCUACAAAGAAAGCAUCUUAGAAUUAAGCUUUAUAUUUAAAAUUGAAUGAGAUCUUUCUCUAGUGAUAAUGGUACUGAUAUUUCUUCUUAAGGAGAUGAACAUGGAGAUUAGUACAAGUUUGACCGAUUUUACUAUAAAAGCAAUCUUAUUGAGAAUCAAAUGAGUUAGAAGUGAUUAAUCCGGUUUUAAAUUAAAGCUUAAAACGUUGAUUUCUUAUUAACCAUUAAUGGGAGUGGCGUUCACCUGUUUUACCUGAGGCUUUACCUGAGUAUAUAAGGAACAUUCUACCAUCGCUCCGCUUAGUUCCGUUCUUCUGGAAUCAUUCGUAAAACAGCACUUUGCUUCGCCGUAAAAAAACCAACCAUGAGAUUUCACAAGAUUGUCUCGAUCGUUCUUGUUGUAAUAACGAUCGCAUCGGCAUACCCGCAAAAAGAUGGUCAAGUCUUCAGUAAUGAAGCGAUUAGACAAGCUCAAAAUACCUAUCUCAUUCCUAAGGAUGCGACGAUACAAAAAGUUCAGGAAGGAAUAGAAUUAGCUGCAUAUGAAUCGAUUCCUGGAGAUCAAAGGAUAAAUCUUUUUGAAAUACUUGGAGAACACGUACCAUCAGAAGUUGUUAACAAUCUGCAAACUCAAAUUGAUCAAAUAGGGCGAAAUUAGAAUUUAUUGUUCAACAUUAAAUGUGUUGUGUCGAUUUUUCGUUAUCUGACUGUACAAAAUUACUUUUAAUAAUAAGUAUUUUAAUAUGUACUUAUAUAAAAGUAUUUAUAAAUAAGCGAUAAAUUACUCUCUUUCGUGAAUGUAUAUAUAUAUUCAGCUUUUACAUUUUUAUAAAUAAACGCAA
rnacentral:misc_RNA from 1 species